GACGAACGCUGGCGGCGUGCCUAAUACAUGCAAGUCGAACGCACUCUCGUUUAGAUUGAAGGAGCUUGCUCCUGAUUGAUAAACAUUUGAGUGAGUGGCGGACGGGUGAGUAACACGUGGGUAACCUGCCCUAAAGUGGGGGAUAACAUUUGGAAACAGAUGCUAAAUACCGCAUAAAACCUAACACCGCAUGGUGUAGGGUUGAAAGAUGGUUUCGGCUAUCACUUUAGGAUGGACCCGCGGUGCAAUUAGUUAGUUGGUGAGGUAAAGGCUCACCAAGACCGUGAUGCAUAGCCGACCUGAGAGGGUAAAUCGGCCACACUGGGACUGAGACACGGCCCAGACUCCUACGGGAGCAGCAGUAGGGAAUCUUCCACAAUGGACGAAAGUCUGAUGGAGCAAACGCCGCGUGAGUGAAGAAGGUUUUCGGAUCGUAAAACUCUGUGUUGGAGAAGAAUGUAUCUGAUAGUAACUGAUCAGGUAU
rnacentral:rRNA from 1 species